ACGGAAGGCAGCAGUGGGGAAUAUUGGGCAAUGGGCGAAAGCCUGACCCAGCGACGCCGCGUGAGGGAAGAAGGUCUUCGGAUUGUAAACCUUAGUCACCAGGGAAGAAGCAAGUGACGGUACCUGUGGAGGAAGCCACGGCUAACUACGUGCCAGCAGCCGCGGUAAUACGUAGGUGGCGAGCGUUAUCCGGAUUUACUGGGUGUAAAGGGUGUGUAGGCGGGACUGCAAGUCAGAUGUGAAAACUAUCGGCUCAACUGAUAGCUUGCAUUUGAAACUGUGGUUCUUGAGUGUGGGAGAGGUAAGUGGAAUUCCUAGUGUAGCGGUGAAAUGCGUAGAUAUUAGGAGGAACACCAGUGGCGAAGGCGGCUUACUGGACUGUAACUGACGUUGAGGCUCGAAAGCGUGGGGAGCAAACAGGAUUAGAUACCCUGGUC
rnacentral:rRNA from 1 species